ACUCUUUACAGCAAAGGGUCGAUCCCAAACUUAGUGUCGGAAUCUCUCCUUUCCUUGGUGAGGCUCCCGGGUUGGCAGGACUCUGAGCAUGCGCAGAAACUCAGCAAAGUCGGGGGCCAGUGGGCACCUCCUUUCCCUGACAACGGGAAGCGUUGUGAGCGUCAGGGCGCGUGCGUAAACGUGGCCCGGGCGCCGGGGUGGUGGGUUACGCCUGGAGAGCGCAUGGGCAAAGUGUACGUCCGUUUGUCCGGGGCGGAGGGGAGAGUGGGCGCCAUCUUCUAGGCUCUCUGAGGGCUCUCAUCCUGUUCUGGGGAGGCUGCUGCGACGAGGAGAGCCACCUGCCCCUGGCCUUGUGUGCCCAACUCGGCAGCAGUGGUGUGUGUUUAUUGCCAAGUGCGAAUCAGUUACCCUUGGGGCGUCGGGGGUGGGGAGGAGUUGGUGACGGGGGCGGAAGAACAGGGAAAGGCGGGGCCGGCGGCCGCGCCAGGAGCUAACGUAGCUUCUCCCGUUAGGGCACCCUCGUUUCUUGCUAAACACCGACUCUUCCGCCAGCCUCCAUGUGCUGUUGUGUGUUCGCUUCCCAGUUUUCUUGAGAGUGAAGAUCUCGAAGGAUUUCAUAGGUCUGGCGACGGCAUCGGAUCGUACGUAGCGACUUUGGCCAGGCGUGAAAAAAGGAAGCUCUGACCCCUGGGAAUCUGGACAAAGGCUUUGGGCUAUAGAAGCGAUGCCUUCGGAUGAUCUCCGUUUGAGGAUGAUGGAUGUUAUGGGAAAUCCUGUGUCGUGUGGAUUCGUCUUCAUUUACAGUUCCUAUUGGGGACUAUGGCUCUUGUGUCGUCAUGCCUUUGGUUUCCAUUUUAACCAUCUACAUUAUAAGAGGAUUAAAGGUCAUCAUAAAGAAUAAUUGUGGACUGGGGGUAGAUUAUUUUCUGCAGGGGAAACUCAUGCGUUUUUAGAAUUUAAAUGUGCUUCAUCAUAAUUUUGGGUUUUAAGAAAUAUAGUCGCAGUUUUCUCUCCCUCACCAUGUCUGGAAAAUGAAUUAUUGGCUAGCUAAAAUCAAAUGGGUCUGAAAUAAUACCUAUUUAAAUUUAGCCUCCCUCCAGUUUCCCUCUCAGGCUUGAAAAGAGGAUGCACAUUUUGUACUGUUUAGUGAUAAGGAUCAAGUGGCAUGAAUCGUAUAAAAUUACAGCAAAAUUAAAAUGAGUUUAUUAAUUUCGGUGACUUGACGUUAAAUGAGCUUUUAAGGACCCACUUCCUUCUUUUAGGUUAGAAGUUCUGAUUACUGUCUUUAAGUUGACACAGUCGUGAAAAAUACUUGUUGCAUUCAUAAGUAGAAAAUUUUUAAGUGCAGAGUACUUGAGAGUAUUUUGUGUUUUUGCCUUUUGUGUAAUGUUGUGAGAAUAGACUUUCUGGGGAAUUUGCUUAAGGAAAUAACAUGGCAACCACAGGAGAAGUGCUCAUUUUGAGCUGGUCUCUCAUAGGUGGUCUCCUACCUGUGUUAUUGUAGAGUGAUAAAUAGUACAUUACCCUACUAUCCAAAGGGCAAAAAUAUUUAAUCAUUAGUUAUAUUUAACUGUGGCAAGUUAGAAGCAAUUUUUUUUUUUUUAUUUAGAGUGCUUGAAUUGGAAUUCAUGAGAUUUGUACACAUGGAACUACUUAGUUAAAAUACUGUUUUUAAGUUAGAGAGGAUAAAUUACUAGAAAUCUU
ensembl:lncRNA